UACGUAGGGUGCAAGCGUUGUCCGGAAUUAUUGGGCGUAAAGAGCUCGUAGGCGGUCUGUUGCGUCGGCUGUGAAAACCCGGGGCUCAACUCCGGGCCUGCAGCCGAUACGGGCAGACUAGAGUUCGGCAGGGGAGACUGGAAUUCCUGGUGUAGCGGUGAAAUGCGCAGAUAUCAGGAGGAACACCGGUGGCGAAGGCGGGUCUCUGGGCCGAUACUGACGCUGAGGAGCGAAAGCGUGGGGAGCGAACAGG
rnacentral:rRNA from 1 species